rnacentral:tRNA from 1 species
GGGGUUGUAGCUCAGUUGGUAGAGCGCUUGCCUAGCUCCUGUGAGGCACUGGGUUCAAUCCUCAGCAUCACCU